GGCAGAUCGAGCGCGCGCACCAGCAACUCUUUUGGGGCACUUUAAGAUUGAACAACAACAGGUCCUUUGUGGCAGACAGAGCUUCAUUUGAAUGGUGUUGCUCUUCACAUCUAGGUCGCCACAGCAGAAUAAACAGUCAACUAUUCCAGUUGAAUACAGAAUAGUUGCUAAUAAGCUAACCGAGUUUCUAGAUUAUCAACAGACCAACGACGAGAUGAUCCCAAGGUUUCCAUAUCCGGGACUGCUGCUGCGC